GUUCUGGCUGCAGCCUUCAGUCCCUUAACUCAGUCUGAGGCCCUCGUCAUAUUCUGCUGUCACUGUUGUCUUCUGUCAGUCAGGCUGCUGAUGUCACGUUCUCAUCAGCUUCAUUUUACAAUAUGGGACAUGCAUAAGAGAAGAUCUGGGCAUUGUGAAGAGGGUUAUGAGUGGAGAAUAUUUGGAAAAGCAAAUUUUGAGACUAAGACUUGGCAAUAUCCAGGACAUAACUAAAUAUACAUAAGUGUUUGGAUUUUAUUAUUAUAUUUAUUUACACCUUCUUUUUCCUACCAUGACAACUUCCAGAUAAUAUCUUCUGACUGAGAGUUGGUGACUUCCACAGAAGUGACAUUAUUCAUUAAUGACUCAAUGUUCAAAAAGCUUUAUCUUAGCGAAUGGUGUAAAUUACAUGAGUCAGAAUCACCUGGAGGACUUGUUAAAACACAGACUGUUGGGCUCCACCCCAGAGCUUCUGAUUCCUAUGACCUGGGUGAGGAUUGAAAAGUGGCAUUUCUGACAGGCGUCUACAGAAUGCUGCUGCCCCGUCUGGAGUGCACACUUUGAGAACCAACUAACUGAAACAUUGCAGCAUCCAUAAAACAGAYUGCAAAAAGAAAGAAAUCACUCGAUAAUAUGGAUAUGCUCAAAUAGACUAAUAGUUUUUGUAUUACAGAUUUAGUUGUAAUGCUUUCUUUUACUUACACUUUUAUUGGUUAUUUUAUCACAAUGUAGAUACAGAGUAUGUCUUUUUCUCUAGCUAUGUUUCAUCGUCAACAUCAUUUUCGUUAAUAUUGACUCUUGGAAGAUCUAAAAAAUAAUUUUGAAAGAAUUUUUAUGAAUGAAUUUACCUGAAACAUGCUAAAUUUGCCAUCAGCAUUGUUGCUUUUGGUCUACCAGGUGGGAUUUGACAGAAAAACUCAAGUCAUUCAUUUGCAGAAUUAAACCACAUUUGUCUGAACUCUUACAGAUUUACUGUUAUUUUUCGUAUUUCACCAUGUGUAACUUCUUUUUCAUCAAAAGUGCUUACYACCUCUGCCUCUAAUGUCUUCCUUCUUUUUAUAUUUGUUAUCAUCCCCCCUCAGCCCCUCAGAAGUCCAUGCCUUUGCCAUAUAGAUUUUACAUCUUUUACAGUAAUCCCAGUUUACUGUGGUUUUAACAUAUACUAUGCUAUGGAAAGGAUGUGGAG
rnacentral:lncRNA from 1 species